rnacentral:rRNA from 1 species
GACGAACGCUGGCGGCGUGCUUAACACAUGCAAGUCGAACGGAAAGGCCCUGCUUUUGUGUGGUGCUCGAGUGGCGAACGGGUGAGUAACACGUGAGUAACCUGCCCUUGACUUUGGGAUAACUUCAGGAAACUGGGGCUAAUACCGGAUAGGAGCUCCUGCUGCAUGGUGGGGGUUGGAGAGUUUCGGCGGUUGGGGAUGGACUCGCGGCUUAUCAGCUUGUUGGUGGGGUAGUGGCUUACCAAGGCUUUGACGGGUAGCCGGCCUGAGAGGGUGACCGGCCACAUUGGGACUGCGAUACGGACCAGACUCCUACGGGCGGCAGCAGUGGGGAAUAUUGCACAAUGGGCGGACGCGUGAUGCAGCAACGCCGCGUGCGAGAUGACGGCCUUCGGGUUGUAAACCGCUUUCGCCUGUGACGAAGCGUGAGUGACGGUAAUGGGUAAAGAAGCACCGGCUAACUACGUG